rnacentral:tRNA from 1 species
AAAGCUAGGAUUCUCAAUUAAACUAUUCUUU